rnacentral:tRNA from 1 species
ACCUGGUUGGCUUAGUCAGUAGAGUAUGUGACUGUUGAUCUCAGGGUUGAAAGUUCAAACCCCAUAUUAGGUG